GUCCCAGGGGAUGCUCGUCCCAGCGAGGGGGGAUGCUCGUCUGGGGGGAUGCUCGUCCCAGCGAGGGGGGAUGCUCGUCCCAGGGGAUGCUCCUCCCGACGCCCGUGCAGAGAGGGAGAGCCGGGGGUGCACGUGUGCCUGUGCACACGCGAGAAACCUGUUUUCAAACCAACCCGACUCGCAUCCUGCCCCCGCGCUGUGAGUCAGGGGCCGGGGCCUUCCCGCACCGCAGCAGUGACCCGGGGUGGGGGGGGAGACACUCAGUUGGGGCCACUGUGGGGUCUGGAGAUGCCCCUGGGGUGAUGGAUUUGGCAGUSGGCAGGGAGGGAGGGAGGGGAAAGCCACCGGCGGUGGGGUGACGCUGCCUGCCGCAGCGGGGACAAGGGAGGGUACAGACCCCCUCCUGAUCAAAAUGUCCUUUUCUUCUUUUUUUUCCAACCCCCCCCACUCCCGGCCUGCUCAGAAAGCUGCAGUCACACCAGGGAGAAAACCACGAGGCCGACCCAAAAAAUCGCAGCAGGACGAGGAAGAGGCGAACAUUUCCCAGGAGUCGUCCGAGGAGGAGCAGUGAGAGCUCGGUGCUACCUCAAGCCCCCGCGGGCCCAGGGUGGGGGGAGCCCCGGCUUUUCCCCCCCGCCGCCGCGCCGCUCUCCCGCCCGGACACAGCAGCACUGGAAUACAGCUCCCGCGCCCCUUCCCGCUGCCCCCCGGCAUGGCGGCGGGGGGGGGAGCCUUCGCCCUGCUGCCCCCUCCCCGCUUUCGUGCUGGCGGUUUGGCCCCGCGGGGAGGGGGCAGCAACGGCGAGACCCCCCCAGUGCAGAGCCAUGCGGGGAAAAGCUCUGCUCCGGCCGCUGCUAACCCGGGAUAACCCCCCCCUGCACCCGGAGCUGCUCCGGCGGGUGCUUCCCGCCCGGGCGCCGCCUCCCGUGGGCUUUUUGGGGGGGUUUUGUAUUUUUUUCCUCCUUUCAGUCGCAACUACCUCUGGAUAUUUAAGUUCCACUCUCCGACCGCACCGACAUGCUGCUGCACCGGCCGCGAGGGUCGCUCCCGGCGGGGGCCCCGCCGGCUCGGCUUUCCUUCCUUUCCUCGGGGUUUGGGUUGGAUUUGGGUUUUUUUUUCCCCUCCUUCCUCCCCUCCGGCCACACUGAAUCAGCACCAAGCAGAGCCGGGGGCGCCGAGGGCAUCGUGGGGUUUUUCUCCCAGUUUCGGGCUUUUUUUGUUUUUAGGAUGAUCUUAGGGAUGGGGCUGCGCUGCUGCCGGGGGGGCGGCGGAGGGCCCUGCGCAGGGGAAAAAAAUUGUGUGUUUUUUUUUCUUUUYGGUCCACCGUUAACGACCUUUCGGUUUCCUACUCGCAGUUAC
rnacentral:lncRNA from 1 species